rnacentral:rRNA from 1 species
GUGGGGAAUUUUGGACAAUGGGCGCAAGCCUGAUCCAGCAAUGCCGCGUGCAGGAAGAAGGCCUUCGGGUUGUAAACUGCUUUUGUACGGAACGAAACGGUCCUGGUUAAUACCUGGGGCUAAUGACGGUACCGUAAGAAUAAGCACCGGCUAACUACGUGCCAGCAGCUGCGGUAAUACGUAGGGUGCGAGCGUUAAUCGGAAUUACUGGGCGUAAAGCGUGCGCAGGCGGUGCUGUAAGACAGGCGUGAAAUCCCCGGGCUCAACCUGGGAAUUGCGCUUGUGACUGCAGUGCUGGAGUACGGCAGAGGGGGAUGGAAUUCCGCGUGUAGCAGUGAAAUGCGUAGAUAUGCGGAGGAACACCGAUGGCGAAGGCAGUCCCCUGGGCCUGUACUGACGCUCAUGCACGAAAGCGUGGGGAGCAAACAGGAUUAGAAACCCUAGUAGUCC